GGGACAUUUGGAGGAGACAAAAUAAAUUCAAGACUCUUCCAUAAGCGUUUUAGAAUUAGUUGUAUUUUAAUUUAGUAGUUUAGAAUUUUUAGACAAACUUUGACAUUGUGGGCCAAUUUUUGGUAUUUGUUGUUGAGCCCAAUAGUAAAAAAUAGACACAUGGCACCCUAGGGUUGGGUGGACCCCACCCUAAUUUUUGAGACACAUGGUCCUAGGGAUCACCAAUAUUCCACAGCCGUCACUUGCUGGUUUUUCUGGGGGCUGCUAUCACGAGACACUCACUCUCGGUACAUUUGAUAUUUUUGUUGUUGAACGUUUUUUUUUUGGGUGGGGAAUGAAAAAUGGAGGCAUUUUUCUUUUCAUUUGAAAAUGGAUAAUACUUUCCUUUUAUUUUACUUUUGCUUGCAAUCACUUUCUUGGGAGAAGAAAUGGUAUCACGGUCCAGAAGCUUCAUGGUGCUGUUCUGAUUUCUUUUCUAUGCCUUGCUUCCAGCCACACCUUUUAUUUUUAUUUUCUUUUUAAAGCUUUCUUGAAGGUACCGUGAAUGAAUCAUUAGAAAUUUCUUUGCUUUCAAUUUGAAGUUUGCUGAAGCAUGGGUCACGUCAACUUUAAUUACACAUUGCAAUUUUAUUUUUUUUUAGUUUAAAAGUGGCUGAAUUUUAUUUGUUUUGCUGCACCAAAUUGUCUUGUGAUUGAAUGAGAAAUGAUUAGAUAGUAUUAGGUUGUGUGUACGGUGCAUGGUUUGCUUUCAUUGUGCUUUUGAGAAUUUAUUGACUUGGCUGAAAGCAUUUUCUUAUUUUUACUUUGCAAUUGUCGUCACAGUAGCAAGAGGAGAAAUUAUUUUGAUUAAGAAAUUGUCUCACGGAGGAGAGGAUGCAAAGUUUUAUUUUAUUUUUAUUUUUUUUAAUUGAACAAAGCCUUGAUGUCACGAGAAAGAAGUGCACACGCGGGAACAUUCAUUUCCUUAGAAUUAGCUAUUUCUAUUUCAUUUGAAGCUUGCACGGUGAUACAAAUUCUUGGAAAUUUAACUUUAUGUUUAGAAAGGCACAUGGCUGCCACAUGAGAAGAAUUCCAUGCAUGUUUCUUUUUUCUUUUUUUUUAUUUAAUUUAGCAACUUAAUUUCUAAUUGCAACACUUUUUUUUUAUUUGUUGCAUUUAAUUUGGUCCAUGUGCAUUUUAUUUUUAGUCAAGUUAUUUUUAUUAUCUGUUGCAUUUUGAUUAGUUCACACAUCUAUCUUUAAGACGGUUUAAUUAACGGUUUUUGUUCACUAUGAUUCUUGUUCUGUUCGGUUUCUUUAUCUUGCAUUUCCAAUUUCCCCACUUGCUUUAGAUAUUGUUCGGUCUUCAUGUUUUCUUCAUUUAUUUCGAUGUUCUCAAUUUUGUUUGGUUGUAUUUAAUUUCCAUUUUUAUUUUAAUUUAAUUCUCCUUGCAAGAACACUUUCAAACCCC
rnacentral:lncRNA from 1 species